AAAAUAUAUUUUAACGGUUAUCGAACUGGGAAUUCCAACUCGGGAACUCGGGCCUUUGUCUUGAACUCCGACUUUCCGACCUUAAGAUAACUKAAGUCAUGAUUUUACCUCGUAUUUUUUUCGAGUUCCUAGUUGUUUUGAACGCGGCACUAGAAAGAAGCACUAGUUCCGGAGUUGGAAUUCCGAGUUUAAUGACCAUUCAAAUCGAUUGUUCCUAGUCAGAGCUCGUUUUUCCCCGAGUUCCCAGUUGGUUUGAACGCGGCAGUAGUGAGCUAGCUGGAGGAAGGAACACUCACAGUCCACUAUGGCGGAGACGCACAGUUUGCAGGAGCUGCAGCAACAAGCAGCCGUCGCCUCCAAAGUGUAUGUCCAGAGGGACUACAACUCGGGUAAAAUCUGCAAGUUCCAGACCAAGUUCCCCUCGGAGCUGGAGUCCAGGGUUGAUAAGCAGCAGUUUGAGGAGACGAUGCAGACACUUAACAACCUUUACGCAGAGGCUGAGAAAAUUGGUGGCAAGUCUUACCUGGAGGGCUGCUUGGCCUGCAUGACAGCCUACACAAUCUUCCUCUGUAUGGAGACCCACUAUGAGAAAGUAUUGAAGAAAAUCGCUAGGUUCGUCAAGGAGCAGAAUGAGAAGAUCUACGCUCCUCUGGGACUCCUGCUGACAGACCCAAUAGAGAGAGGUCUCAGGGUUGUAUCCAUUACUGUCUUUGAKGCUCACACAAACAGAGGGUACAUCCCAAAUUGCCCUGGUCUGGUCAAAAGUAGUGCGCUAUAUAGGGUAUAGGAUGCCAUUUGGGRSACACACUCAGACCUUUCUUGUGUACCCUUCUUUAAUGUCCUGCUGGAUCCCAGUUUCCUUAACUAACCCCCUCACCAGGUUGAAAUCACCAUUUUUGAGGACAGAAGUAUUGGCUCCGGAAGAUGAACCACACCAAAGGAUGGCCUAUUUGACCUGGUGCAUCCCAAUUAUCUCACCACACCCAUCAAUAAUUCCUUCUGGAUGUAGAUGGAUGUCCUUCUGGAUGUAGAUGAUUGUUUUUAUUUAUUUCACAAAAGGGAUGGGCUAUGUGUGCUAGGAAUCUAUAUCCCGCUGAAACAAACACUCCCUGUUUUUACAUGUUUAUUGAGAUUAUUAAUUUGAACAUGUGAAAAUGUCUUAUUCUAGUUAACCAAGACCACACCUUUAGUAUGAAUGGUGCUGUUUUGUUUUAUAUUGCCAUUUUAAACUCUUACUCAUUAAAGGUGCAUUGUGUAAUAUCUCCAAAUACUAAUAGCCUUUAAAGGUAUAGUUCACCCACAGUUUUUAAACCUGUGUUUAAUAUACCCUCUUUGGUUCACCAAAAUUACAACAUUAGCAAGAUGGUUCCUUACCUUGACAGUAGUCUACGGGCCAGGAGAAACUGUAAUCCACAACAAUACAUAUUUUUCUACUAAGCUGCUGACACCAACUGGGUGAUUCUCACGAAGCUGGCACUUUACAACAAGAAAUAAACUUAUUUUCCACCAUAAUUCCUCUAAGAUUAGGAUCUCUAGUUAUUUAUUUCAUAAUUAUUAUGUUUAUUUAUCAGAUAUUAUGCAUUUCCACAACUACCAAUGCAAACAUUUUCAUUACCGCCAAAAUUUUCGAAUUCCCAAAAAAGUAAUAAACCAAUUUCUAUAUAUUUUGUAACAUUGCUCACCUAAUGAAAAGGCCUGAGUUAAACACUGAAAACAAAUAUAUUUCAAAUUAAAUUAUUCAUGUGUUUUUUAAUUUUUCAUUACUGCAACGCACAACCUUUUCUGAAUCUUGUUUUUUGGUAAUAAUUACUUGUUUUUAUGUAAACCUAUUUGGAUAAAGAACAAAAGGCACACUAUCAGAUGAAGUGAAAAUUACAAGUAUACAUUUAACCUUUUGUAGUAUUUCCUAAAUAUUGGUUUAUUACGGUAAUGAAAAGCUGGAUCCGGAAAUGAGAAUACAUGUUUUGGUAAUGAGUGUUGCAUAGUUUGCAGUUUAAAAACUGUACUGAGCUCUGUUAGUCAUCAUCAAAAUGUGUCAUUUGUCAAUCCCAAAUGAUUUGGGUAAUAUGAAAAUCACUGGUCUUAAUACAAUUGACUAAAAUCCCUUCAUUUAGCAUAAGUACUGUAAUUACGUGCAUGUAUUUUCAAAAGUGAAAGUGGACUUAAGCAUAAAACGGUGACUUUCUUUUUUUUACAGGUAAUAUUGGUGUAUUAGGAUGUGGAUAUGUGUGGUUCUAAGGUAUUUUAGCUGGGUUUCUAAAUUGAAUGGCAUCUUAUGGGCAAAUGGCAUAACAUGAUAUGUCUAUAAAGUAUCUAAAUAUGUGGGAUUUUAACUUAGAAAUGGGGGAUAUCCUCCUUUAAGUGGCGGGGCUGCUCUUUGUUGAAACAAACUCCAGAUUGUGGCUUUAAGUAAAUUAAAUGGGGUUUACACCCAUAAUUCUUUGAUCCUACUUAAUCGAAUAACUGAUGUUUUACCAAAAAUCUAUACAAUAGGUGUAAUCUGUAGUUCUGGUAAAUAAUUAGUUACCACCACAGCACACCCAUUGACUAUACAUUAAAAUUAGGUUAUUAUCGUUACCCGAAAUUAAGUUUCUCAUUAACGAAAGACCUAAGUGAUGCGGUAAUGAGAGGCACUUAGCUCAGUCUGCUGUUUCCUAUUGCUUGCAAACAAUUGACCACAUCACUAAAGCCCAUUCAUGCCUCCAUGCUGGUAAGGUGACAGUUCUCUACGUUUUCCCCAAUAUGAGCUUUUUUCUCAUUUUGGUAAUGAGGUUGUAAAGGGGAGAAUAAGAUCCUCAUUCUGAAGACAAAUAAAGAUUAAAUUAACUUGU